GACGAACGCUGGCGGCGUGCUUAACACAUGCAAGUCGAACGGUAAGGCCCUUCGGGGUACACGAGUGGCGAACGGGUGAGUAACACGUGGGUGAUCUGCCCUGCACUUCGGGAUAAGCCUGGGAAACUGGGUCUAAUACCGGAUAGGACCACUGCCUGCAUGGGUGGUAGUGGAAAGCUUUUGCGGUGUGGGAUGGGCCCGCGGCCUAUCAGCUUGUUGGUGGGGUGAUGGACUACCAAGGCGACGACGGGUAGCCGGCCUGAGAGGGUGACCGGCCACACUGGGACUGAGAUACGGCCCAGACUCCUACGGGAGGCAGCAGUGGGGAAUAUUGCACAAUGGGCGCAAGCCUGAUGCAGCGACGCCGCGUGGGGGAUGGCGGCCUUCGGGUUGUAAACCUCUUUCAGCACCGACGAAGCGCAAGUGACGGUAGGUGCAGAAGAAGGACCGGCCAACUACGUGCCAGCCGCCGCCGUAA
rnacentral:rRNA from 1 species